rnacentral:rRNA from 1 species
GACGAACGCUGGCGGAGGGAGGAACACAGGCAAGUCGAACGGAAAGGCCCUGCUUUUGUGGGGUGCUCGAGUGGCGAACGGGUGAGUAACACGUGAGUAACCUGCCCUUGACUUUGGGAUAACUUCAGGAAACUGGGGCUAAUACCGGAUAGGAGCUCCUGCUGCAUGGUGGGGGUUGGAAAGUUUCGGCGGUUGGGGAUGGACUCGCGGCUUAUCAGCUUGUUGGUGGGGUAGUGGCUUACCAAGGCUUUGACGGGUAGCCGGCCUGAGAGGGUGACCGGCCACAUUGGGACUGAGAUACGGCCCAGACUCCUACGGGAGGCAGCAGUGGGGAAUAUUGCACAAUGGGCGGAAGCCUGAUGCAGCAACGCCGCGUGCGGGAUGACGGCCUUCGGGUUGUAAACCGCUUUCGCCUGUGACGAAGCGUGAGUGACGGUAAUGGGUAAAGAAGCACCGGCUAACUACGUG